rnacentral:SRP_RNA from 1 species
GCCGGGCGUGGUGGCACGUGCCUGUAAUCCCAGUUACUUGGGAGGCUGAGGCAGGAGAAUCGCUUGAACCCGGGAGGUGGAGUUGCAGUGAGCAGUGAGCCGAGACUGUGCCACUGCACUCCAGCCUGGGGGACAGAGCGAGAUUCUAUCUCAA